GGCAUGGAAGCUUAGUGGUUAGCACAUUUGCCUUGCACCUAAAGGGUUGAGGGUUUGUAUCCUGCCUAUGCCU